GCGAUUUCGCUAUUUACAACCUGCACUAGUGUAUGUUAACAAUGGCUGGUGCAGGUAACCUUCAGUAACAGGUUGUACCCGGUGCAGGUUACCUUCAGUAACAGGUUGUACCUGGUGCCGGUUACCUUUAGUAACAGGUUGCACCUGGUGCAGGUAACCUUCAGUAACAGGUUGCACCUGG